rnacentral:lncRNA from 1 species
CCCUCCCAUAUUUUAUUGUUGGUGGGGUUCCCCCUCCGCUCCGGAGGAGGGAAUAGAGGUUGGUUUAGCAUGGUGAAGCACUAUUAUAUUUUCCCCUUUGACCUUUCCAUGAUUGACUUUCCCGAGACUUAUUAUAUAAUUGUCUCGGUACUUUUCAACCAAGGCCAGGCUAAGAAACUUGCAAAUUAAGAAAGUGAUGACAAUGAAUGAUCACUUUCCACCCUAACUGCUAGACCA